rnacentral:rRNA from 1 species
AUGAGCGGCAGCAUUCGGCGGAUCCUGAACCUGGGGUUGUUCGAAGGGGUCAAACGCGCGUAUUCGCUGCGGCGCCUGAACCUGGAGCUCUCCAAGGUGAAGUUUUUCCACCCGACGGCACAAGAGGCGGCCGCUCAUGGCAAGGUGCUGCCAACACUGACGCCCGCCCAGUUCGAGGCCACCAGCAGGACAAGGAUCUGCAACACCGAUCUGGCGACGGCGGAGGCGGCGGCGCCCAAGAUCGAUCCGCCAAAAACCGAGCUGGUCAUAAAGCCACCGGAAGUCUCCUACUCCAUCCGGUCUCCUCGCUGCGUUCAUUUCUUGCCAACCGCCUCGGAGAGCAAGUCCCCAGGCACUCCCGCUACAUCGAUUCCAUGCCAAGCCUCCACGGGCGACCUCUACAUCAUCGAUAGCGUCCUCCAUCCCAACAAGGCGGACGUACGCCCGCAGUUCGAGGCCCUGGUGUGGAGGGGGAUCACCACGUCCCUCGCGUCUCACAGGUUCUGGCACUGCGACAUCCUCCCGCUGCCCCCGUGGAUCACACACCACAGGAAUGCCUUCGUCUAUGGUCACGCCCUCGUCGGCGACACCAUCUGCUUCUCCAUCUCUGGCUCAGAGGGCCAUGGCACCUACUGCUUCCACAUGGCGACUCGCGAGUGGAGCAAAGCUGGCGACUGGCUCAUGCCCUUCCAUGGCAAGGCAGAUUACGUCCCUGAGCUUGGACUCUGGUUCGGCGUCGCAGACGACCUCCCCUGCGCUGCUGACCUCUCUGGCGUCGUCGAAGGGGAGGAGCCGCCGCCAAAGAAGAUGCGGAUCUGGGUGCACGAUGACCUGCCAGAGGAGUGGCAGCCAAGCCAAUUGUUCAAGCCCAGGGUCAUCAGCCUUGGUUCUGGCAAGUUCAUGGUCGUGGACUUCUUGGAUGACAUGCAAUUCGACAAGGAAUCGAACGAGAUGUAUGUUGACAAGCAAUUCGCCCUCUUCACUGGUAUGGAAGUAGCCUACAGCAACGGCAACGGCAAAGGCAAGAAUAGCAGAAAUGGUGCCAUAAAAAACAAUGACCACAGUAGUGGCAAAGGCAAAGGGCUGAUCCGUGGCCUCCGUAUGAUCAAGCACAAAUCCGGUCGUUACUUGUUCAACAACCAGCAGAGGAUCGAGGAGGUGCUCUGA